GGUUAUGGCUUAGUGGUAGAGUGCUUGCUAGCACGUGUGAGGUACUGGGUUCGAUCCUCAGCACCA
rnacentral:tRNA from 1 species